CCUACGACUUCUAAGCAAUCUCAAACAUGGGAGCUAAUGCAUAGGACGUUCGUGACACGCUAGGGUGGACUUGGGCCUUAGUGACGAUAAAAUGGAACUAGACUAGUUAAAACUUGUUAUGUACUCUUUGUUUCAGUUAUUUUAAGACAAUGUAACUCGUUUGUUUGAUUCAAUAAAAUAUAACUUUGUAUGCCAUGGUUGUGAAACAAUAAUUCUGUUACAACACUCCCCGACGU
rnacentral:lncRNA from 1 species